rnacentral:rRNA from 1 species
GCUACCUACUUCUUUUGCACCCACUCCCAUGGUGUGAAGGGCGGUGUGUACAAGGCCCGGGAACGUAUUCACCGUAGCAUUCUGAUCUACGAUUACUAGCGAUUCCGACUUCAUGGAGUCGAGUUGCAGACUCCAAUCCGGACUACGACGCACUUUAUGAGGUCCGCUUGCUCUCGCGAGGUCGCUUCUCUUUGUAUGCGCCAUUGUAGCACGUGUGUAGCCCUACUCGUAAGGGGCAUGAUGACUUGACGUCGUCCCCACCUUCCUCCAGUUUAUCACUGGCAGUCUCCUUUGAGUUCCCGGCCGAACGGCUGGCAACAAAGGAUAAGGGUUGCGCUCGUUGCGGGACUUAACCCAACAUUUCACAACACGAGCUGACGACAGCCAUGCAGCACCUGUCUCAGAGUUCCCGAAGGCACCAAUCCAUCUCUGGAAAGUUCUCUGGAUGUCAAGAGUAGGUAAGGUUCUUCGCGUUGCAUCGAAUUAAACCACAUGCUCCACCGCUUGUGC